rnacentral:rRNA from 1 species
UACGUAAGGUCCGAGCGUUGUCCGGAAUCAUUGGGCGUAAAGGGUACGUAGGCGGAUAAGCAAGUUAGAAGUGAAAUCCUAUAGCUCAACUAUAGUAAGCUUUUAAAACUGCUCAUCUUGAGGUAUGGAAGGGAAAGUGGAAUUCCUAGUGUAGCGGUGAAAUGCUUAGAUAUUAGGAGGAAUACCAGUGGCGAGGGCGACUUUCUGGCCAUUAUCUGACGCUGAGGUACGAAAACGUGGGUAGUAAACAGG